GGAGGCCUAGCCGCCCGCCCUGGGGCGGAACGCGCGGGCGCGGGAGCCUUGGAUACCGGUUACAGAGGCAGGCGGUGUCCGCGGGGUGCGGCGGGGACAGGGUAUCCCCUGCCUGCACGCUCCGGGCCCGCCGCCGAGCUUCGGCGGCCCUGGGCCUGGAUCCCUGGUCUUUUGUUGGGUUUCCUGUCUGGUGCCCACGCCUCAGCAAAGGCGAGAGAAAGCUAGCUUUGUGUUGGUGUGGUAAGAAGAGACAUCUGGCCUCCCCGGGAGGCCGGAGGGAUGAGGGUUGCAGACUGAGCCCCACCCGGCCUGUGAGGAGCUUUAUCAAACAAACCCCAUUUACAGGCGCUCGCAAUUCUGUUUCGAAAAAGAAAGGCUUAAUUAUCAGGCGGCAACAUUUCUGUGACAGAAACAGACAAGCCCAGUUCUGCUGCUUCCUAUUGUGCCUAAGCAAACUGGUUUACCAUUCUGAGCUUCAGUUUCCUCUCUGAUGAAAUGCCUGGAAUGUGCACGUGAUGGUAGGAGGUUGACCAGCUGUCCUGGACCAUGAGACAAUCUUGAGGAUGGAAGCCUGCACUAAGAUGAUAUAGUAAAAGAUGAUUGAUUGGACUUCCCUGGUGGCACAGUGGUUAAGAAUUCUCCUGCCAAUGCAGGGGACAUGGGUUUCAGCCCUGGUCUGGGAAGAUCCCACAUGCCACGGAGCAACUAAGCCUGUGCGCCACAACUACUGAGCCUGUGCUCUAGAGCCCGCAAGCCACAACUACUGAGCCCGCACGCCACAGCUACUGAAGCCCACGUGCCUAGAGCCCAUGCUCCACAACAAGAGAAGUCACUGCAAUGAGAAGCCUGUGCACCGCAAGGAAGAAUAGCCCCCAUUCACUGCAACUAGAGAAAGCCUGUGUGUAGCAACAAAGACCCAAAGCAGCCAAAAAUAAAUAAGUUUAUUUAAAAAAAGAUGAUUGUAUAAGGAUUGUCAUUAUAGCAUUGUUUGCAUUUGUAAAAUGCUGGAACCAAUAUAAAUAUGCUUCAAUAGGGGACAGGUUAAUGAAAAUACUAUUCAGUCUUACAAUGGAAUACUAUGCAGGGACCAAAAAGAAUGAGUUAGAUCUAUAUAUACUAAUAUGGAAAGAUGUCUGAGAUUUAUUCAUUCAUUCAUCCAUCCAUUCAUUCAUUCAUUUAAGUGUUUGUUGAGGGUGUACCAUGGCUCUCUUUUAGGCUCCAGGAUACAGCAGGGAACAAAACAAAGUUCCUAGGCUCAUGGAUUUGCUUUCUAGGGAGAAAUAUGGAUAAUAGGCAAGCUAAGAAAUAAAUACGUAGUAUGAAAGAUCCAUGAAGAAAAAUGAAUCAGGAUAUGGAGGAUGAAGAGUGAUUGGGGCAUUACUUUAUAUUGGGUGGUCAGAGGAGGUUUCUCUGAUGAGGUAGCCAAAUGGCUGCUGCAGUUUUGAGUCUCAAAUCUAUAUGUCAUUGGACAUUUAACCCAGAGAAAUGAAAACUUAACAUUCACACCAAAAGUUUGCAUAAAGCAUUAUUCAUAAUAGCCAAACUUGGAAACAGUCUUCAAUAAUGAGUGGUUAAACAAAUUGUGGCACAUCCGUAUCAUGGAAUACUUUUCAGCAAUGAAAAGGAAUGAACUAUUGAAAUACACAACUUGGAUGGAUCUCAAGGGAAUUAUACUGAGUCAAGAAGGUCAGUCUCAAAAUGUUAUAUUCUGUAUGAUUCCAUUUAUAGCAUUCUUGAAGUGACAAAAUGAUAGAUAUAGAGAACAGAGUAGUGGUUUAUGGUUUAUUGAGAAGGGGGAAAGGAGGUGUCUGUGGCUAUAAAAGGGAUCCUUGUGAUGGAAGAGUUCUGUAUCUUAACUGUGGUGUUAAUCACAUGUGAUAUCUACACAUGAUGAAACUUCAUAGAACUAAAUACACACACACACACACAAGUGCAUAUAAAAACAAGUGAAAUCUGAAUAAGGUUGGUGGAUGAUAUCAAUGUCAAUUUCCUGAUUGUGUACUAUGCUUAUGUAAGAUAGUUAAUAUUGGAGGAGAUUAGGUGAAGAGUAUACUGGGUUUCUAUUAUUCUUACAACUAUAUGUGAAUCUACAAUAAUCUCAGAAUAAAAAGUUUUAAAAAUUUUCUGCA